rnacentral:tRNA from 1 species
GACUCGCUAGCUCAAUUGGCAGAGCUGCGGACUUUUAAUCCGUAGGUUGUGGGUUCGAGUCCCACGCGAGUCA